AAAUUGAAGAGUUUGAUCAUGGCUCAGAUUGAACGCUGGCGGCAGGCCUAACACAUGCAAGUCGAACGGUAACAGAAAGCAGCUUGCUGCUUUGCUGACGAGUGGCGGACGGGUGAGUAAUGUCUGGGAAACUGCCUGAUGGAGGGGGAUAACUACUGGAAACGGUAGCUAAUACCGCAUAAUGUCGCAAGACCAAAGAGGGGGACCUUCGGGCCUCUUGCCAUCGG
rnacentral:rRNA from 1 species